AUUGAACGCUGGCGGCAGGCCUAACACAUGCAAGUCGAACGAGUGGCGGACGGGAGAGUAAUGUCUGGGAAACUGCCUGAUGGAGGGGGAUAACUAAUGGAAACGGUAGCUAAUACCGCAUAACAUCAGAUGUGCCCAGAUGGGAUUAGCUAGUGGGUGGGUUAAUGGCUCACCUAGGCGACGAUCCCUAGCUGGUCUGAGAGGAUGACCGGACACACGGGAACUGAGACACGGUCCAGACUCCUACGGGAGGAAGCAGUGGGGAAUAUUGCACAAUGGGCGAAAGCCUGAUGCAGCCAUGCCGCGUGUAUGAAGAAGGCCUUCGGGUUGUAAAGUACUUUCAGCGGGGAGGCGUUACCCACAGAGGAAGCACCGGCUAACUCCGUGCCAGCCGCCGCGGUAAUAC
rnacentral:rRNA from 1 species